rnacentral:rRNA from 1 species
CUGAUUAGCUAGUUGGUGGGGUAUAGGCCUACCAAGGCGACGAUCAGUAGUUGGUCUGAGAGGACGACCAGCCACACUGGGACUGAGACACGGCCCAGACUCCUACGGGAGGCAGCAGUGGGGAAUUUUGGACAAUGGGCGCAAGCCUGAUCCAGCAAUGCCGCGUGAGUGAAGAAGGCCUUCGGGUUGUAAAGCUCUUUCAGUCGAGAAGAAAAAGCUGCAGUGAAUAACUGUAGUUCAUGACGGUAUCGACAGAAGAAGCACCGGCUAACUACGUGCCAGCAGCCGCGGUAAUACGUAGGGUGCGAGCGUUAAUCGGAAUUACUGGGCGUAAAGGGUGCGCAGGCGGCUUUGUAAGUCAGAUGUGAAAUCCCCGGGCUUAACCUGGGAAUU